rnacentral:tRNA from 5 species
GCCAUUGUAGCUCAGGGGCAGAGCAUUCCCUUGGUAAGGGAAAGGUCAUGGGUUCAAAUCCCAUCAAUGGCU